rnacentral:lncRNA from 1 species
AAACGCUGAAGCUGAAGGCUGGGCUUGCACAAAGACGCUCUGGUCUGUGCACCAGGAAGUGGCCUGUCUCAGGGUUUCACCUCAGCUGGGUUCCAAAAACCCAGUACUCUUAUUCUGAUCAUUCCUUCUCCUUGGUGGGAGAGGUGGGAAUUGAAUGUCUCAGACGAGAUGCUCUUCCUGCAGUAAGUUCUGGGUUUGACCUCGAAUCCCUAGGGAAUAGCAGACUGCCCCUCCUCUGCACACUUCGUUGUUGGUGCGGUCCUUUGCCAUCUGUGGCAGCCCUGUGCGCAUGACUUGCACUUUUAAAUUUGUGUAAUUUGUUUUAGAUGGCAUUUGAGCCAUCCUACUGAAGCGCCUCGAUGACGUGUCUCAGGCAGGACAAGCACUUUGGAUAAAUACCUUUGGUUUUGGGAGAAAAUGGCCCAAGCGUGUGGAGAUGGCUCUCACGCCUUCUGCUUUUUCAGCCUUUACAACUUUCACAAGGAAGUGUGGCAGCCAGGGCUGUGGACUAUAUACACCCAUCCAGAACAGCAGGUGCCCAGGCAGUCUGGUGACUCCUGGGGAAUGACCUGGCCUGCCUUACUGUGAAUUCAACAGCACUGUUAUUAAACCUCCUGCGUGAGCCGUCCUUGUAGAGCACUGCAGAGCUAAGAGAAAAUGUCUCAUACCCAAGAGUCACCAAGGAAAACGUUCUACAAGUGAAUGUCUUCUGUGUUGCCCAUGUUUCACGAAUGCAACACAGGGAUCAGGAAGCUGAGGCCCUCCUGCUGCUCCUAGCACCAGCCAGAAUGCUAAUGGGCAGGGAUGAUGGGAGUUGUAGUCCAUCAAUUCCUCGUUCCCCACCCUUGUUCUAAAAGAUGUCGAUGGGAGAAAACAGUGGCGUGGAAGUUUAUUUACACAUACCCCAAUUCUGCGUAGGGCUGAAAGCAUAAGAUUUGAUGCUCAUCCCUUGUGGGGAUUUAUCACCUCUUCAAUCCUCAUCAAAGGAUCAUUCCGGCAAUUUGAGAAGAACCAUCCACAACAGGGGUACAUGGGUCCCUCCCCAGAGUGGCACUGGAAGGGACGUCUCCUUGCAACAACAGUGCUGCUGUAUUUGCUGACUCUCUUGUGCUUGUUGUGCCCUCCCCUCUUGGUCGGGGCGAAUCUCCCCACCCUGCGUAAGCAACCCUCCCGCAAAAGAAGCUUCUGAGUUGGGUUCUUCUGACUGGGAGGUGGAUUCUACCUGCACUCUGAGAUUGAGUCGUGCUCAGAAACUUCACCUGCUCCCUCAAGCCUUUUCCUCCAUCGCCCCAUGUGGUCUGCAGCCUGUCCGGCAACCGUGGUACUGAAGAGCUAGGAAGUCUCCAGGUUCAAAGGCAUGGAUGGUAGGUAAACUGGAACUCAUGGCUCUGGCCAAGGCGAGGCUUGCUUGUGCCCUCCCUCGAGCCCCGUGUAAGUUACAAAAGAGACAACCACUGAUACUAGGUUUUGAAAUUAGUCGGAAGAAUCUGCUUUUGAUGAUGUGAACAUGCAAAGGGUCAGUAUUGCAGUUAACCCAAGUUCCCUUGACCGGCAGCUACUGCAGAAGCCCAGCCAGCC